UGNGGCUGCUUUUAUCCCAACUCCUGGU
rnacentral:piRNA from 1 species